UUUAAAAAAUAAGAGACUAAGCAUUUGAUUAUGGUUCCAUCCUGUCCAGAGACUAAGAUUCCUGCCAACUGUGACUCUUUGGUUGAGAGCUAAAGCAGAGUUUCUUCACUUCCAUAAAUAAAAUUUCCAAAUUCCCAGCUUUGACGGUUCAUGACAAUCAAGACCUGACCCACUGGUCAAAAUGAGAAUUAUUACAGCUAUAAGUUUCUAUUAAAAACCCUGACUAGAACAA